GGGGUUGUAGCUCAGUGGUAGAGUGCUUGACUCAUGCAUGAAGCCCUGGGUUCAAUCCUCAGCACCACA
rnacentral:tRNA from 1 species